CUCGAGAGGAGGAUAUUGUGCCAUUGAUGAUCAUGAUGGACACUUGAAUCAAAUCUGUUUUAUUACUUAGUGGAUCGUUCUAAACUGAUUUGAAAAGUGGGGUGCAAAAGAUUGUGAAGUUGCAUUCUUUAUGAGAACAUCAAGCACAAGAUUAUAUUCAUGAUUUGAAGUCAGUUCUUAAAAGAAGGAAGAAGAAAUGGAGAAUUAUUGCUGUUUCAUCUGCUUCCGCUAAAUACUGAAUGUAUGUGAAUAUUGAUGCUGUGACCUGUGGGUGAUAGAUCACCAAACUAUUGACUAAGUGAUUAUUUGAUCGAUCACCAAACUAUUGACUAUGUGAUUAUUUGAUUGAUCACGAAGCUAUCGGCUAAGUGAUACUUUGAUCGAUCACAAAACUAUUGACUAUGUGAAUACUUGAUCGAUCACCAAAACGUCCAAUGGAUCGUGAGUACUAACAAUGACUUAUUAUGAGACGGAAAUGAUUACUGUAUUAUAAACACUGAUAGCGACAAGUCACCUACCAAUGACUAAUAAUUGAUGAUGACGAAUCCCUCAUGACGAAAAUGAUGAAUAUUCACUUGUAGUGACUUAUGAUGUUCCCUGAUGCUGAUGAUGCUGAUGACUACUGCUGCGGUAGACAAAUGACUGAAAAUUUAUUCCUUCUUCACUUCUUCUAAGUUCGUUUUCAAGCCUAAUUUUCUACUUCUUGCUGCCUUUUCCACCUUAAUUUCACUCCUUUAUCAAUUUCAAACGUAUUAAUCUCAAAGAAAAAAAAACAGUAAAUAAAUUAUAAUCAAGACGCACUUUUUUACGACGAUUAGUAAUAUUUAAUGCAAACGAAUAAUUCAAAAUAAAUUUGAUGCAAAUAGUAAUAUGUAUUACAAUAAAGUGAUCCAAAUAAACUAGU